GCGGAUGUGGUGGAAUUGGUAGACACGCCAGAUUUAGGUUCUGGUGCCUCAGGGCGUGGGAGUUCAAGUCUCCCCAUCCGCACCA
rnacentral:tRNA from 7 species